GACGAACGCUGGCGGCGUGCUUAACACAUGCGAGUCGAACGGAAAGGCCCUGCUUUUGUGGGGUGCUCGAGUGGCGAACGGGUGAGUAACACGUGAGUAACCUGCCCUUGACUUUGGGAUAACUUCAGGAAACUGGGGCUAAUACCGGAUAGGAGCUCCUGCUGCAUGGUGGGGGUUGGAAAGUUUCGGCGGUUGGGGAUGGACUCGCGGCUUAUCAGCUUGUUGGUGGGGUAGUGGCUUACCAAGGCUUUGACGGGUAGCCGGCCUGAGGGGGUGACCGGCCACAGUGGGACUGAGAUACGGCCCAGACGCCUACGGGAGGCAGCAGUGGGGAAUAUUGCACAAUGGGCGGAAGCCUGAUGCAGCAACGCCGCGUGCGGGAUGACGGCCUUCGGGUUGUAAACCGCUUUCGCCUGUGACGAAGCGUGAGUGACGGUAAUGGGUAAAGAAGCACCGGCUAACUACGUG
rnacentral:rRNA from 1 species